CGGUAGGCUUAAUACAUGCAAGUCGAGGGAGUUGUAGUAGCAAUAUUAUAAACGACCGGCAGACGGGUGCGUAACACGUAUGCAACCUUCCCAUAACUGGGGGAUAGCCCAUGGAAACAUGGAUUAAUACCCCAUAAUACAUAUGUAUCGCAUGAUGUGUAUGUUAAAGAUUUAUUGGUUAUGGAUGGGCAUGCGUCCCAUUAGAUAGUAGGCGAGGUAACGGCUCACCUAGUCUAAGAUGGGUAGGGGUUCUGAGAGGAAGAUCCCCCACACUGGCACUGAGAUACGGGCCAGACUCCUACGGGAGGCAGCAGUAGGGAAUAUUGGUCAAUGGGCGAGAGCCUGAACCAGCCAUACCGCGUGCAGGAAGAAGGUCUUAUGGAUUGUAAACUGCUUUUGUAUAGGAAGAAAAAGACUUUGCGAAGUUUAUUGACGUUAUUAUACGAAUAAGCACCGGCUAACUCCGUGCCAGCAGCCGCGGUAAUACGGGGGGUGCAAGCGUUGUCCGGAUUUACUGGGUUUAAAGGGUGCGUAGGUGGUUGUGUAAGUUUAAGGUAAAAUAUAUCAGCUUAACUGAUGGCGUGCUUUAAAAACUAUACAACUUGAGUAGAAUGCGAGCAGGCGGAAUUUAUGGUGUAGCGGUGAAAUGCAUAGAUACCAUAAGGAACUCCAAUAGCGUAGGCAGUUUGCUGUGUUCUAACUGACACUGAUGCACGAAAGCAUGGGGAUCAAACAGGAUUAGAUACCCUGGUAGUCCAUGCUGUAAACGAUGCUCACUAGAUGUAUGUCUGCAAGGAUAUGUAUUCAAGCGAAAGCGAUAAGUGAGCCACCUGGGGAGUACGGUCGCAAGAUUGAAACUCAA
rnacentral:rRNA from 1 species